UGGGGAAUAUUGGGCAAUGGACGAAAGUCUGACCCAGCGACGCCGCGUGGAUGAAGAAGUCCUUCGGGAUGUAAAGUCACGAGACACUCGAAUAAUGCUUAUGGGGAACCAUGAGAGAGAAGGUAGAGUGAGAAAAGUCACGGCUAACUACGUGCCAGCAGCCGCGGUAAUACGUAGGUGGCAAGCGUUGUCCGGAAUUACUGGGCGUAAAGGGGACGUAGGCGGUUAUACAAGUCAGAUGUGAAAUUUACGGGCUAAACCUGUGAAGUGCAUUUGAAACUGUAUAACUUGAGAUGGAUAGAGGGAGACGGAAUUACCUGUGUAGGGGUGAAAUCCGCAGAUAUAGGUAAGAAUGCCGGUGGGGAAGCCGGUCUCCUGGGUCCAAACUGACGCUGAGGUC
rnacentral:rRNA from 1 species